GGAUGCGAUCAUACCAGCACUAAAGCAUCGGAUCCCAUGAGAACUCCGAAGUUAAGCGUGCUUGGGCGAGAGUAGUACUAGUAUGGGUGACCUCCUGGGAAGUCCUCGUGUUGCAUUCC
rnacentral:rRNA from 1 species